AGUGAACGCUGGCGGUAGGCCUAACACAUGCAAGUCGAACGGCAGCACAGUAAGAGCUUGCUCUUACGGGUGGCGAGUGGCGGACGGGUGAGGAAUACAUCGGAAUCUACUUUUUCGUGGGGGAUAACGUAGGGAAACUUACGCUAAUACCGCAUACGACCUACGGGUGAAAGCAGGGGAUCUUCGGACCUUGCGCGAUUGAAUGAGCCGAUGUCGGAUUAGCUAGUUGGCGGGGUAAAGGCCCACCAAGGCGACGAUCCGUAGCUGGUCUGAGAGGAUGAUCAGCCACACUGGAACUGAGACACGGUCCAGACUCCUACGGGAGGCAGCAGUGGGGAAUAUUGGACAAUGGGCGCAAGCCUGAUCCAGCCAUACCGCGUGGGUGAAGAAGGCCUUCGGGUUGUAGAGCCCUUUUGUCGGGAAAGAAAAGCAGCAGGUUAAUACCCCGCUGUUCUGACGGUACCCAAAGAAUAAGCACCGGCUAACUUCGUG
rnacentral:rRNA from 1 species